rnacentral:rRNA from 1 species
AGUUUGAUCAUGGCUCAGAUUGAACGCUGGCGGCAGGCCUAACACAUGCAAGUCGAACGGUAACAGGAAGCAGCUUGCUGCUUCGCUGACGAGUGGCGGACGGGUGAGUAAUGUCUGGGAAACUGCCUGAUGGAGGGGGAUAACUACUGGAAACGGUGGCUAAUACCGCAUAACGUCGCAAGACCAAAGAGGGGGACCUUCGGGCCUCUUGCCAUCAGAUGUGCCCAGAUGGGAUUAGCUAGUUGGUGAGGUAACGGCUCACCAAGGCGACGAUCCCUAGCUGGUCUGAGAGGAUGACCAGCCACACUGGAACUGAGACACGGUCCAGACUCCUACGGGAGGCAGCAGUGGGGAAUAUUGCACAAUGGGCGCAAGCCUGAUGCAGCCAUGCCGCGUGUAUGAAGAAGGCCUUCGGGUUGUAAAGUACUUUCAGCGGGGAGGAAGGUGUUGUGGUUAAUAACCGCAGCAAUUGACGUUACCCGCAGAAGAAGCACCGGCUAACUCCGUGCCAGCAGCCGCGGUAAUACGGAGGGUGCAAGCGUUAAUCGGAAUUACUGGGCGUAAAGCGCACGCAGGCGGUCUGUCAAGUCGGAUGUGAAAUCCCCGGGCUCAACCUGGGAACUGCAUUCGAAACUGGCAGGCUUGAGUCUUGUAGAGGGGGGGUAGAAUUCCAGGUGUAGCGGUGAAAUGCGUAGAGAUCUGGAGGAAUACCGGUGGCGAAGGCGGCCCCCUGGACAAAGACUGACGCUCAGGUGCGAAAGCGUGGGGAGCAAACAGGAUUAGAUACCCU